rnacentral:rRNA from 1 species
AUUGAACGCUGGCGGCAUGCUUUACACAUGCAAGUCGAACGGUAACAGGGUGCUUGCACCGCUGACGAGUGGCGAACGGGUGAGUAAUGCGUCGGAACGUGCCGAGUAAUGGGGGACAACGCAUCGAAAGGUGUGCUAAUACCGCAUACGCUCUGAGGAGGAAAGCUGGGGAUCGAAAGACCUGGCGUUAUUCGAGCGGCCGACGUCUGAUUAGCUAGUUGGUGAGGUAAAGGCGCACCAAGGCAACGAUCAGUAGCGGGUCUGAGAGGAUGAUCCGCCACACUGGGACUGAGACACGGCCCAGACUCCUACGGGAGGCAGCAGUGGGGAAUUUUGGACAAUGGGGGCAACCCUGAUCCAGCCAUGCCGCGUGUCUGAAGAAGGCCUUCGGGUUGUAAAGGACUUUUGUUAGGGAGCAAGUCCUGCAGGUUACGAGCUAGUAGGGAUGAGAGUACCUAAAGAAUAAGCACCGGCUAACUACGUGCCAGCAGCCGCGGUAACAC